GGCUGAGAACUGUGGGGACAAUCUCCCCCUGUAGAUCCGGCCGCGGCUUAUGCCGAAAAACAUACACUUUAUGAAGGAG
rnacentral:ncRNA from 1 species